rnacentral:rRNA from 1 species
UACGAAGGGGGGCUAGCGUUGUUCGGAAUUACUGGGCGUAAAGCGCACGUAGGCGGAUAUUUAAGUCAGGGGUGAAAUCCCAGAGCUCAACUCUGGAACUGCCUUUGAUACUGGGUAUCUGGAGUAUGGAAGAGGUGAGUGGAAUUCCGAGUGUAGAGGUGAAAUUCGUAGAUAUUCGGAGGAACACCAGUGGCGAAGGCGGCUCACUGGUCCAUUACUGGCGCUGAGGUGCGAAAGCGUGGGGAGCAAACAGG